CGGCAAACCUAAGCAACUCAUGAUGGCCGACUUUGAUCCACCAAAGCCACCAAAGAGGAACAAAUACGCUUUUGCUUGUGCCAUGUUAGCUUCCAUGACUUCUAUCUUGCUUGGUUAUGGUAUUUAUCUACAUCUUCAGUUCAUCUGUAUUAUCGUCUUGAUCAUCAUCAUUAAUAUACUCACAUAUAUAUAUUUUUCAAAACAUGACCAAUUUGAGACGUUAGUUAAUUGAAGCCAUGUGUGAUGUGUCCCUAGCGUAUUCAUGUCCAUGUCCUCCUAUAUACAACUCAUGUUACUUAUAAAAAUAUAGAUGCCUAUAUCGUGUUUUUUGGUAUAUACCAUGGUAAAAAAUUGUAAACUAUUCACACGAUACACGUCUUGCCACAAUAUUUUUGGUCGCAUUCAAAAAUAAUUAUGUUCGAAUUUCAUCACGAUCGAUAUGUUAUAUAAUAAGUUAAGACAGGCGUCAAUGGAUGGAUGAACAAGAACUCUACUUCACGGAGAUUUUAAGAAAUAUUAUUUUUUAAUAAUCAUUGAAAAUAUGUUGGUAAUAAUUUAUCUGUAUUAUUUAAACAAUAAUUAAUACAGCUGCUAAAAAAUAAAAUAAUAUAUUUUUUCGUGUGGCAGAUAUUGGUGUGAUGAGUGGGGCGCAAAUCUACAUCAAGAAAGAUUUUAACUGUACCGACGUUCAAAUCGAGGUGCUCGUCGGAAUUCUGAACGUCUACUCGUUGGUCGGUUCAGCCGCCGCCGGGAAAACGUCGGACAUGAUUGGUCGUCGGUACACCAUCGUCUUGGCCGGAGCUAUCUUCUUCAUCGGAGCAAUCU
rnacentral:lncRNA from 1 species